CAGUAGCCGCGGUAAUACGAAGGGUGCAAGCGUUACUCGGAAUUACUGGGCGUAAAGCGUGCGUAGGUGGUGGUUUAAGUCCGUUGUGAAAGCCCUGGGCUCAACCUGGGAAUUGCAGUGGAUACUGGGUCACUAGAGUGUGGUAGAGGAUAGUGGAAUUUCCGGUGUAGCGGUGAAAUGCGUAGAGAUCGGGAGGAACAUCAGUGGCAAAGGCGGCCAUCUGGGACAACACUGACGCUGAGGCACGAAAGCGUGGGGAGCAAACAGGAUUAGAUACCCCAGUAGUCCCUGUCUCUUAUAC
rnacentral:rRNA from 1 species